rnacentral:tRNA from 1 species
UGAUUUCUUAGUCAAUUAUGAUUUUAAAUUGCAAAUUUAAAGGUAUUAUAGAAAUU